ACCCGCUGAACUUAAGCAUAUCAAUAAGCGGAGGAAAAGAAACCAACAGGGAUUGCCCUAGUAACGGCGAGUGAAGCGGCAACAGCUCAAAUUUGAAAUCUGGCUCUUUUAGAGUCCGAGUUGUAAUUUGCAGAGGGCGCUUUGGCUUUGGCAGCGGUCCAAGUUCCUUGGAACAGGACGUCACAGAGGGUGAGAAUCCCGUACGUGGUCGCUGGCUAUUGCCGUGUAAAGCCCCUUCGACGAGUCGAGUUGUUUGGGAAUGCAGCUCUAAAUGGGAGGUACAUUUCUUCUAAAGCUAAAUAUUGGCCAGAGACCGAUAGCGCACAAGUAGAGUGAUCGAAAGAUGAAAAGCGCUUUGGAAAGAGAGUCAAACAGCACGUGAAAUUGUUGAAAGGGAAGCGCUUGCAGCCAGACUUGCUUACAGUUGCUCAUCCGGGCUUUUGCCCGGUGCACUCUUCUGUAGGCAGGCCAGCAUCAGUUUGGGCGGUAGGAUAAAGGUCUCUGUCACGUACCUCUCUUCGGGGAGGCCUUAUAGGGGAGACGACAUACUACCAGCCUGGACUGAGGUCCGCGCAUCUGCUAGGAUGCUGGCGUAAUGGCUGU
rnacentral:rRNA from 1 species